AACGUAGGUACCGAGCGUUAUCCGGAUUUACUGGGCGUAAAGGGUGCGUAGGUGGUAAGGCAAGUCAGGUGUGAAAUCUCCGGGCUCAACCCGGAAAUGGCAUUCGAAACUACCUUGCUAGAGGGUUUGAGGGGGGACUGGAAUACUUGGUGUAGCAGUGAAAUGCGUAGAUAUCAAGUGGAACACCAGUGGCGAAGGCGAGUCCCUGGAAAACUCCUGACACUGAGGCACGAAAGCUAGGGGAGCAAACAGG
rnacentral:rRNA from 1 species